AAGGGGAAUGUUUAGUGUCUCCCUCUGCUCUGUGAAGGGAAUGGGGUUCAGGUCUAGGCAGCUGUUAAAGUUACAAUCUGGGAUUUUCUUCCUGCUCUUUAAUAGUUGAUUUAAUUUAAUUUCAAAUAUGUUGAAAUGUCAAUCACAUGGGCCUUGCAUCAAUAGCUCUGUCUAUGAAUUUAAGAUGGUUACUUUAACCCAAGCCCCAACUCAGCCUACUGGCUUUGCGGAAGCUGUGGAUGGGCUGAAACACAGAUUCAGGGCUGAAACACAGAUUCAGGGCUGAAACACAGAUUCAGGGCUGAAACACAGAUUCAGGACUGUGACUUUAAAGGUCUGUGAGCAGGAGAACACAGAGAGAUCCCAGUGAUAGAGUAGAACCCAUUACCCUGAUGUGAGACAUACUCACACCUCACAGUACCUUACACACACACACACACACACACACACACACACACCUCCCAACACAUUACUUCCAGCCCAGAUCCUAGACCCCAGAUCAGCCUAAUGGCCGAGGUGAUGAUGGUGAUUCACAUUACAGCCAUCCAGCUGGAGACAGACAUACUGUAUCUGACAAAUACCACAUAACAAGGCAAGGCUUGACAGAACACACAGAAUAUGUUUUCAGGGCAUGUUUUAAAUAUGUAUUUUAAAGUCAACUUUUAUCACGACUUCAUGGCUCUUCACUAUUAGUUUUCUACAUACGGUACGUUGUCCAUGUUCAUUCAAUUCAAGUUUCUAAUGUCAUUUACUUUCCAUUUGUGGAAGUACACGCAAUGAAAUGUCUCUUUGAGGGAAAAGCAGUUCAUUUAUUCAUACAUGUAGAGUAGCAGACACUAUGAUGAACACAUUAAACACAGAACCACUAGAGGGACAGUCACUAUGAUGAACACAUUAAACACAGAACCACUAACAGUCACUAUGAUGAACACAUUAAACACAGAACCACUAGAGGACUAUGAUGAACACAUUAAACACAGAACCACUAGAGGGACAGUCACUAUGAUGAACACAUUAAACACAGAACCACUAGAGUAUCAGACACUAUGAUGAACACAUUAAACACAGAACCACUAGAGGACAAUGAUGAACAUAAUAAUAAUGUGUUCAAGGAUGCUCAGUGGGUCCGGAACAACACAUGUUGUGGAGGAGGACGAGGAGGAUGAUGCUCACUUUGUUGUUUGAGUACAGUGACUGACGAACACAGCGACAGAGAGAUAUUCAGACAGACAGAAAGAGAGAAAAAGAGAGUGAGUGAGAGAGAAAAAGAGAGAGAGAGAGACAGAGAGAGAGAGAGAGAAAGAGAGAGAGAGAGAGAGAGAGAGAGAGAAAGAGAGAGAGACAGAGAGAGAAAGAGAGAGGGAGAGAGAGAGAGAGACAGAGAGAGGGAGAGAGAUAAUAAAUAAUAAACAAACAAAAUAACUCUGUUAAAUGUGGUUGAAUCAUCACUGNNNNNNNNNNNNNNNNNNNNNNNNNNNNNNNNNNNNNNNNNNNNNNNNNNNNNNNNNNNNNNNNNNNNNNNNNNNNNNNNNNNNNNNNNNNNNNNNNNNNGCUCCGUUCACCUAAAAGAGCUGUUCAUUUGGCUCCGUUCACCUAAAAGAGCUGUUCAUUUGGCUCCGUUCACCUAAAAGAGCUGUUCAUUUGGCUCCGUUCACCUAAAAGAGCUGUUCAUUUGGCUCCGUUCACCUAAAAGAGCUGUUCAUUUGGCUCCGUUCACCUAAAAGAGCUGUUCAUUUGGCUCCGUUCACCUAAAAGAGCUGUUCAUUUGGCUCCGUUCACCUAAAAGAGCUGUUCAUUUGGCUCCGUUCACCUAAAAGAGCUGUUCAUUUGGCUCCGUUCACCUAAAAGAGCUGUUCAUUUGGCUCCGUUCACCUAAAAGAGCUGUUCAUUUGGCUCCGUUCACCUAAAAGAGCUGUUCAUUUGGCUCCGUUCACCUAAAAGAGCUGUUCAUUUGGCUCCGUUCACCUAAAAGAGCUGUUCAUUUGGCUCCGUUCACCUAAAAGAGCUGUUCAUUUGGCCCCCAAAAACAGCUCUUCCUUCAUUCAUGUUUAGAAGUGGACCUAAAACCAAAACAUAUGUGUACUUCCCUAAUUUAAAGCCUAACACUUUGCCUACCAUUAUGUCAGAUUGUGAAAUGUGAGUCCAAAUACAGUUUUACCUAACCAAAUUAUUAGAUGGCCUGCAAAAUAAAAGAUUCUAUAAAAUGUAACACACUGAAAAAAUUAGCUGGACCAGCAAGAGGCUCUCUACUCCCUAUAUUGCUCCUGCACUGAGGAAAUCUUCAUAUUCAGAGAACUGUUUUCAGCAUUUAUCUGCAUUGUUUAUGACAGUUACCGAUGGAAAAUUGUAU
rnacentral:lncRNA from 13 species